GGGCCUAAGGCUGUUGGUUGAAAGGGCACGCGUGAGCUGUCUGCCCUUUCAGAACCGGCGCUGAGAAAUUCUGGCUGUGCCUGACCUUGCGGAUUAUGGCAACUGCAACUUCAAAUUCUCUGAAGGGCACCAGAUGUUUCUGAAAGGUCAUCUACUUCACCGUUUACUCCUAAAUGAGGUUCUACCUCCCCUGGAUCGGCGUGGACCCAGGCACUGAGAAAUUUCGAGCCUCUCACUCCCGUCCCCGGCUCUCGCGUCUAGGUCGAUGGACUGCUACUGUGCCGCCCCAAGUACUUCUCGCAGCCCGCCUCGACUGCAGCGGCCGGCCUCCCCGCCGACCUCCCUGCCUCCUGUCUCUCCCCCGUCCAGCCAGUUCUUCAUUCUGCCGCCCGGGUCAUUUUUCCGAAAGAGGUUCGGUCCACGUCUCCCCACUCCUCGGGGGGCUGCCUACCCACCUCCGAAUCGAACGGAAACUCCUCACCGUCGGCUUCGGAGCGCUCGAUCGCCCCGCCCCUGCUGGCUUACCUCUCGGAUUUCCCACUACAACCCAGCGUGCUCAGUCUACUCCUCCGAAGGCCAACCGACCCGCCGUACCUCCAUCUCAUCCAUCUCGUCACCGACCCCUCGCCCACGUCCCGCCUCUGACCCGGAACUCCCUGCCCGUUUCGCGUUGGACGGACCGCCGAUCUCCCCCACCCUUCAAAGCCUUAUUGAAAUCACAUCUCCUCCAAGAGGCCUUCCCCCCCAAGCCCCGAUCUCCCCUACUCCUUCCGGGUCGCCCUCUCGCUCGGAUCCGUACCCUUCAUUCGCCCUCCCUUCAUCCUCACAGCACCGAUGAACGUAUCUGUGAUUUAUUUUAGUGUCUGUCUCCCCGCUGGGGCUGCGAGCUCCUUCUGGGCAGAGAACGUAUCUUCCAUCUCCGCGGUACUAUAGUCUCCCGAGUCCUCACUCCGGCGCCCCGCACGCGGUAAGCGCUCGAUAAAUAGCGCCGAUCGACCUGCUCGGCACGGCAGCGGCUCGGAUGGAGAAGGAAGGGAGGAUCCCGGCGACGUCGUGAAGGUGGAACGGACAGGAUCGGGCGGCCGAAAGAACACCACAGGGGUCGAACGGGAGAGACGAGCCCGGGAUGGCGGAUGCCGAGGUCACGCAUUUAUGAGACGGGGAGGAUCGCGGUGCCGUCCGCGGCGGACGGGACGGACAGGGUUUAGGCGGGGAGAGGAGGCGUGCUCCCCCGGGGAGCGGGAAAGGCGUUUACCGACUCUGUCGGGUUGUGCU